AGCAGCCGCGGUAAUUCCAGCUCCAAUAGCGUAUAUUAAAGUUGUUGCAGUUAAAAAGCUCGUAGUUGAAUUUCGGGGUUAGUAGGUUGGUCAUGCCUCUGGUAUGUACUGGUCUCACUGAUUCCUCCUUCCUGAUGAGCCGUAAUGCCAUUAAUUUGGUGUUGCGGGGAAUUUGGACUGUUACUUUGAAAAAAUUAGAGUGUUUAAAGCAAGCUAACGCUUGAAUACAUUAGCAUGGAAUAAUGAAAUAGGACGUUCGAUCCUAUUUUGUUGGUUUCUAGGAUUGACGUAAUGAUUAAUAGGGAUAGUUGGGGGCAUUAGUAUUCGAUUGUCAGAGGUGAAAUUCUUGGAUUUAUUGAAGACUAACUACUGCGAAAGCAUUUGCCAAGGAUGUUUUCAUUAAUCAAGAACGAAAGUUAGGGGAUCGAAGACGAUCAGAUACCGUCGUAGUCUUAACCAUAAACUAUGCCGACUAGGGAUCGGAUGAUGUUAAUUUUUUAAUGACUCAUUCGGCGCCUUACG
rnacentral:rRNA from 1 species